rnacentral:misc_RNA from 1 species
CAAGAAGCCGAAAGGCUACUUAAAACCAUCGCGAACUUAUCCAAGUUGCUUCGGCGGCGCGGCUCCCCUCACGGGGGACCGCAGCCCCCGCCUCUCAGGAGGUAAGGGGGCAGCCGCCGGAGGUACGAAACUCUGUAUUAUAGUGGUAUCUCUGAGUAUAAAACAAAUAAGUUA